GAUGAACGCUGGCGGCGUGCCUAAUACAUGCAAGUCGAGCGAACGGACGAGAAGCUUGCUUUUCUGAUGUUAGCGGCGGACGGGUGAGUAACACGUGGAUAACCUACCUAUAAGACUGGGAUAACUUCGGGAAACCGGAGCUAAUACCGGAUAAUAUAUUGAACCGCAUGGUUCAAAAGUGAAAGACGGUCUUGCUGUCACUUAUAGAUGGAUCCGCGCUGCAUUAGCUAGUUGGUAAGGUAACGGCUUACCAAGGCAACGAUGCAUAGCCGACCUGAGAGGGUGAUCGGCCACACUGGAACUGAGACACGGUCCAGACUCCUACGGGAGGCAGCAGUAGGGAAUCUUCCGCAAUGGGCGAAAGCCUGACGGAGCAACGCCGCGUGAGUGAUGAAGGUCUUCGGAUCGUAAAACUCUGUUAUUAGGGAAGAACAUAUGUGUAAGUAACUGUGCACAUCUUGACGGUACCCAAUCAGAAAGCCACGGCUAACUACGUG
rnacentral:rRNA from 1 species